UACACACCGCCCGUCACACCAUGGGAGUUGGUUUUACCCGAAGCUGGUUCUUGGCGAGGUGGCGCCUAAUUGGCGCUAUCGAACCUGGGGUCAGCAACGGGGGAG
rnacentral:rRNA from 1 species